GACUGUCCCAGCCGUUGGAGAGAGCCCAAUGCUGGUAGCCUUCGACGGGGAUGAGCGCGUCGUGACGCGGCUCUGGGUGCCCGCUGAUCCCAGGCACCACCGACACGUCCAGGGUCACCUCAGCGACUGAAAAACAGGCUUUGGGCCGGGCUGGCAGGAGGAGGAAAAGACAGCAGAGAGGCUUGAAACGGGCACGAUGCGGCCAAAUUUUAGCGACGAGAGGAGAGGGAACCAAAGUCUCCUUCAUCAAGAAGACCAGCCAAAGAAGAUGUAGGCCCCCCAAGAGAUCUGGGGGUGUGGGAAGGCUGGAGGAAGAGAAAGUCUAGGGCUACGGGGGUUAAAAGCGUCCGGAGAAGUGUCCGCAUACUCUGAACCAUUCCCGGCUCUUCCGCUGGGUUCCCCAAGACAUUUCGCGCCUGAAACUGGUUCCACGACAGGGGCGCGCCGGGAGCGGGGAGGGAGGCGGCUGUGCAGGCGCCUUCGGGCGGGCGGUGAAAAGUAAAGCCUGGUUGGUUAAUUAACUUUAAGCCUGGGGUCGCUUCUCCCUCCUCCCCCGAAAAAAAAAAAAUGUGGAUCUCGCUGAGACACAAAUAAAACCAAAUUAAACACUCCAGGAGAAUGUG